UUUCAUCCACGCUCUCUUCUUUCCUGCUUCAUCUGUUCUUCCUCCAAACUCCCUUGGUUCAUCCUUCCCGCGUUUCUCUCUCAUCUAAAGUUCUCUCCAACUGUGCUGUACUCGCCAUUGUUGUUCAUUUUUCACCCUUACUCACCAUUGUUGUACUUUCUGUACAUUUCGGCUUCUCCUUCUGUACUUUCUUCCGCUGUUCUUGGUUUCUUUGUCUUAUCAUUUGUUCUUGUCAUUUCGUUUGAACAAUCUCUCUACAGCGUCUCAUUCGCAUUGGAAUAGAUCUUCGACACCAUGUAGAUUCUUCUUCUUUUUCUUGUUAUUGCCGAAGACAGGUACUUCUCUGCAUUCUGCUGGUAUUUUAUUUCUCAAACAACACGAUGAGUCUUUCGAAGCUCAAAGCAAAAGCUGCACAUUCUGAUACUACUGCUCCUCUCAGUACUGAUGAUGCAAUGCAGUAUGAUAGCAAUGAUGAAAGUCAAACAUCUUCCACCAGCAAGUCAGCGACGUCAAGGACGUCCGCCAAGACCCUCUACUGGAUUAUCAAGAAAGUCAAUCCAAUAAAAAGGCAGUUGGUGAAGGAAAUAGGUUUUGGCGGAUUACUUGAACUGCCUCUCUGGAAUUCAAUUAGUCGCAUCUUCAGCACUUGGCUCCUCAGCCAAGUUGAUUGCAUAGAUCUCGCCAUCAUACUGGAUGCAACUCGAAGACUCCUCUUUGUACCACAGGAUGUGAACAGAGUAUUUGGUAUGCCCUGCAGACAUCGUGAUGUCUUGGGACCAGAAACUAAAAUAUCGGAUGCUGCAAUGGCAUACAUUCGUGAACAAGCUGGUAUAACAAUGACAAAGAUCAGCCUCAUAGAUGCUGAGAAGAUUGUCCUGAUGGACUUAUCAGAAGACAGCACUAGAUUACAAAAGGAUUCAUUCAAGAUGGCAUUUGUUAUCAUUGCUAUGGGACAUCUUCUUUCACCAUCUACAAAGUAUGAUCAUGUCAACAUUGAUUUCCUAGGCGCCUUGCGUUGUACUGAAGAAAUUGGUCAAUACAACUAGUGUGCAUAUGUUCCGAAAGGUAUCAUUGAGGCAGCUCAAAAAGUACAGGCUGAUUUGUCCAUGAACAAAUUAGUUUCCAACAUAUUUGCUUGUCACUUGUUCUUGCAGAUACACUAUGUAGAUAAUCUUUUACUUGAACCACUACAACCUCCAAAGAACAUCUUUCCCCGUAUGAAGGCGUUCCCAACUGAAGUACUUAACAAGCUCAUACUAGCUGAUACUAAGCCCAGAGGUGGUUAUGGAGCCAAGUAGGUAACAGUUCAAUGCAAGGGGGACUAUCGUUGUCCAAAAUCAGUCACCAAUUUUAUGGCAGCAAGUUCCUGUGCCUGCUGGAUCAGGUACACCAACACUACUUCAUUCCGUACCAACAAACUCUGGUACCAGCCUUCCAAUUAGUGCAGCAACAUUACCACAAUUCCUCCGAGAGAAAUACCCUGCUCUGUGCAAUACAACAUUAGGCAAUGAUUUGAAAAUAUAUAAUGCAAACAUGGCCCGAGCAAUGAAUGAAAGGCAUGCAGCUGAGAAGAAUCAUGUGAUGCAACAAAAUUUAUGGCUUCAUCUCCUCGAACCCUGUACCACCACGACAAUCACUUUCAACAUCAAGAACACAAGCUUCAGCGAACAGCUCCGUGAAAAGAGGAGACAACAAAGAUCAACUUCAUUCUCAGUCUGAAGCUCAAAGCAAGGAAUGUACGUCACCAUUGCGUGCAAUGAAAUCGCUUCAGGACACACCCAAGAGGUCAUCAUCAGAACUGAAGGAUGCAGCAAGCAAGAAAUCAAAGACUGAAUGUUCACGUACCUUGCCCUACUUAACAAUGCGUUAUAACACCAAAUGCUCACAUCAAUAGUAUUUAUCUUAAUUCCUUUCAUAAAUAGAUGGCGUUCACAGCAACAGAUCUAUGUUGAAGCACAUGGACUUUGAACCACCUUCUUUUGAUCUUGGCAUAGAUUCUAUUGCAAUUGUGACUUAGCAAUGUGUGCCAUCCUUCGCAGCUUCCAACGAUGACUCCAAGAGAACGCCAGAAACAGAAGCUCUCGCUCCAUGUUCUCCGGCUGUAACUAAAUUAACCAUGGAACAUUCCAUGGUAGAUUGGAUGAUGAGGUCAGAGGAUAUAGACUGCCCUGAGAGUAAGGUAUUGUUCGGUGCACCGUCUACUUCACCACCGUGCAAACGUCGAACCAAGGUUGGUACAUUUGCACCCUCACCUUGGUCUGAAGGAUAUAUACAUCCUAAACCAGAUGAUGACAUCAUGGUUUCUCUUUUGGAAUGGUGUGUUGACGCACCUGCACACUACUUGAAAAUCCCAUGGGUAACCACUGAAUUUGCUCGCUACAUCUCAGUUACUGUCCUGAUGUUCUUAACUUCGAAAUGUGCGACCUCCUAGUUAGGCGGUUAACACAACUAGACACCUGGAUGGAACCAAAAAGCAGCAAGAGGCGUUGUUGUCAUCUUCUCGAGAGUGAUUUCUCUGUCUGUGCGAUAGCACAAAAUGACUUCACAUCUCUCCUAUCAAUCCAGCAACAAUUCAUUGGCGACGACAUAAACUACAACAUGUCGUGCACCCAAAUGUUCGCCGUACCUACAUUCAUUGGGCAAUCAUGGUGUGCCUACAUGUUUGACGUGAAGGAAGAGAUUAUUCAUGUACUUGAUCCAUUGGGACUACAUCUGGAAUCAGGAACAAUUAGAGUUAAACGCUAAUUCUGCUAACCUCAUUCAACAAAAGCUCUUUCAAUGCUUCAACGAGUACUAUGAAAUUUGGAAUCCCCAGAUGAAACAGUGGCCUCAUGUGUAUCCUCUUCUCACAGAUGACAAGUUCACCAAGAAUGAGAGUAGAUUGUGCAUGCUAUAUUGUGUCCGCAAUUACAAUGGGGAUGAAUUGGAGCAGCCACUCACCCAGAAUGGUUAUUCAAGGCUGAAACAUACAUUUCUUCGUGAACUCCUCACCAUGGAGAAGAACAAGGCCACGCUCCCCAUCCACAUACUCAAGCUGAUUGGCGGACCGAAUUGGAGGCAAGUCUAGCCUGGCAAUGGUUGCGUUAAUACAAUGUCCCAUCAGUCCAAGUUGUGUAAUUCAAAACCUGGUCUGUGUACCCAACUAAGUUCUGCUGCGAAACUACGUCCUACCACGUUGUAUGCCUUUUGCGAACCAUUCCCCGCACAUUUCUAUGUUUGUACUUCAUUUCCAUUAUGUACGACCAAUAUGGGUACUUCUUUGC